rnacentral:rRNA from 2 species
CGGUAAUACGUAGUGCAGCGUAUCCGAUUUAUUGGGCGUAAAGCGAGCGCAGGCGGUUUUUAAGUCUGAUGUGAAAGCCCUCGGCUUAACCGAGGAAGCGCAUCGGAAACUGGGAAACUUGAGUGCAGAAGAGGACAGUGGAACUCCAUGUGUAGCGGUGAAAUGCGUAGAUAUAUGGAAGAACACCAGUGGCGAAGGCGGCUGUCUGGUCUGUAACUGACGCUGAGGCUCGAAAGCAUGGGUAGCGAACAGGAUUAGAUACCCUGGUAGUCCAUGCCGUAAACGAUGAAUGCUAGGUGUUGGAGGGUUUCCGCCCUUCAGUGCCGCAGCUAACGCAUUAAGCAUUCCGCCUGGGGAGUACGACCGCAAGGUUGAAACUCAAAGGAAUUGACGGGGGCCCGCACAAGCGGUGGAGCAUGUGGUUUAAUUCGAAGCAACGCGAAGAACCUUACCAGGUCUUGACAUCUUUUGAUCACCUGAGAGAUCAGGUUUCCCCUUCGGGGGCAAAAUGACAGGUGGUGCAUGGUUGUCGUCAGCUCGUGUCGUGAGAUGUUGGGUUAAGUCCCGCAACGAGCGCAACCCUUAUGACUAGUUGCCAGCAUUUAGUUGGGCACUCUAGUAAGACUGCCGGUGACAAACCGGAGGAAGGUGGGGAUGACGUCAAAUCAUCAUGCCCCUUAUGACCUGGGCUACACACGUGCUACAAUGGAUGGUACAACGAGUUGCGAGACCGCGAGGUCAAGCUAAUCUCUUAAAGCCAUUCUCAGUUCGGACUGUAGGCUGCAACUCGCCUACACGAAGUCGGAAUCGCUAGUAAUCGCGGAUCAGCACGCCGCGGUGAAUACGUUCCCGGGCCUUGUACACACCGCCCGUCACACCAUGAGAGUUUGUAACACCCGAAGCCGGUGGCGUAACC